CCUGCCCCUAUAAGCCUUGCAGGUUGGCCACUGUGUCUCGUGUGCAUCGAAGGAGGCAGAGAGGAGGGAGGCUAUGUCUGUGUUCAGUGUUCUGACCUACGAGAGCCUGAAUGAUAAGCAGCGUAACACU
ensembl:snoRNA LOC120102686 small nucleolar RNA SNORA17